CUUUGUAGAGCAGGCUGGCCUUGAACUCACCCAGAUCCACCUGUUUCUGCUUCCCAAGUGCUGGGAUUAAAGGUAUGAGCUAUCAUCAUGUCUGGCCUUAAAACUCUCACUUUGAGAAAAGG
rnacentral:misc_RNA from 1 species